GGUCGAUAUAGCGCAGGUUCAGCGCCUCGUUGAAGGUGAGGAUGCCCGCCGCCUUGCCGGCGGCGGUGAUCGUGCCAAUCGCCUUCUCGAUCACC
rnacentral:tRNA from 1 species